GGAGAGGUGGCAGAGUGGUUGAUUGCGUCGGUUUCGAAAACCGAUUUGGCUGAAAGGUCAACGGGGGUUCGAAUCCCUCCCUCUCCGCCA
rnacentral:tRNA from 1 species